rnacentral:tRNA from 1 species
AACUAAUGAACUUGAAUAAGUUUAUAUUUUGAAAAUAUAAAAAAGAAAUUAUAAUUUUCUAUUAGUUU